CAUAAGGACCAACGCGAAAACUUCUUAGUUAAGGACGUCCCUCUGUAAUAUUAGCCUUUUUGAUUUAUUUUUUGGCCCAAUAAUGCUUAGAACUCAGCAUAAGGACACCGAUAAUAAUGGUCUAAGAGCAUCAAUAUCAGUGGGACUUUUGCCCAAGUCCCUAGUGUUUUUUAUUAGUUUUUGUAGUUUAGGACUUUGUUUAGGGAUUUUAAUGAGAUUAGUGAAUAUUGGUGGAACUUUGGUUAGUCCUUAGGUAAUUUUUUUUUAAAUAACUAUAACAUAUUAGACCAGAAUUAUCCGCCAUUAACGAAGCUUGCUUGCUUCUUGAUCUCUUCUUCAGCAUAAUUCACUGCUCAAUCACGCAAAGAAAAUUAAAACUUUAAGCUAAAAUCUCUUUGUUAUUUGCAAAACUGAGACAGAACACGAGAGAGAACAUAUCAAACUAACCUCAACGAUCACGACUUUUCCGACCGACCAGGAAUAUUCCACUCCAUCACGCUCCAGUUCCUCGGUCCGAACUUCUCCACGCUCGCUCAGCAUAACGUCUUCCUUCUUAGACCACGUCCCUUUUUUCUUCUCCUCCCGCUCGUCCCUUCUCCACCAAACUUCGCCGCCGCAUCUCCGUCACCACCGCCACCGUAAUCAUCUAUUCUCCCACUCGCCACCGACGAUCGUCUCCAAAUCUCUCCCUCCAUACGUUUCCUCUCUUCGAAAUUGUAGCUUCAAUCUCCUCCAAUCUGGUAAAAACCUAAAAUUGGAAGGGCUCCAAUUCGACAAAGCCCAAGCCAGUUUCUUCUCUCCAUUACAAAACCCAGAUUAUCAGGAGAGAUCACGAGAGAGAGUAAGCUUGCUUCGUCGAAGGCGUAGAAGAAACUUUGUGAUAUCUCCCAUUCUGACGCGUGGCAUCAAAGACGCCACAAAAAAGUUCUUAGUUUAGGACAAUCGAACUCGUACUUAUAAUUAUCGGCCUUUUUUAUUUAAAUUUGAGCCCAAAAUCACUUAGGAACAUUGCUAAGGACACCGAUAUUGAUGGUCUAAACACCCCUUUUCUAUAAAAGUUAUAGAAAUAAUAAUAAUUUAACAAAAAUCAGACUUGUUCAUCUAGUUUAACGAUUUAAACUGUUGAUCAUCAGUACUUAUUGAGAUUUUGCAGGACCUGGUUGCUCAUCGAUCGCUAGUGGUGCUGCGCAAGCACAAGGCCCGUUUCUGGUCCAUUCCAAAGGUGGCAACCUCACCUUCAAUAAAUUCUCUUGGAACAAAGAGGCCAAUAUCUUGUUCUUGGAAGCAUCGGUAGGCGUUGGGUUUUCGAACAGCAAUAACUCAACUGAUCUUCAAAACCUAGGAGAUCAAGUUACCGCACAGGAUUCUUUUGUGUUUUUGAUCAACUGGUUCAAGAAAUUCCCCGAGUUUCGAUCAAACGAGUUUUACAUCACUGGACAGAGUUAUGCAGGUCACUAUGUUCCUCAGCUUGCGGAGGUCAUUUAUGACAGGAACAAGAAGGUUGCAAGAGACUCUCGCAUCAAUCUGAAGGGCAUCAUGACUAGAAAUCCCGUACUCAAUGAACCCACAGACGCUGCAGGCAUAGUUGACUACGCGUGGAGCCACGCUUUAAUAUCGGACGACGUUCAUAAACACGUUCACGACUCGUGCCGUUUUGGAGAUAAACUAACCCCAGACGGAACGGCACAAUGCAACAAAAGUUUUACAGGGUUUACAGCUUAAGCCGCAAUCAAUAUAUACAUCAUCUACACUCCCAUUUGCCUCUCCUCCUCGUCAUCCUCUAAAAAACAUACGCGUGUUAUGUCUCAUAAUCUCCUCACUUCACAAAAUAUCUGGGAUAGGUUGCCUUUAUGGGUACGACCCGUGCACACCACUGUAUGCUGAGAAAUAUUUCAAUAGGAAAGAUGUGCAGACCGCACUUCAGGCAAACGUCACAAACAUACCUUACCCGUACACAGCUUGCAGUUCGGUGAUAAAAUGGACUGAAGCUCCGACCGCCGUGAUUCCCAUCAUCAAGAAGCUCUUGAAGGGUGGCCUCCGCAUUUGGAUCUAUAGCGGAGAUACGGAUGGGAGACUUCCAGUAACAUCUACGCGGUAUAGCUUAAGGGAGAUGAGACUUAAGGUGGAGUCACCUUGGAGGUCAUGGUUCCACAAGAGUGAAGUGGCUGGAUGGGUUGAGACUUAAGCCGGAGGCCUAAUUUUUGCUACAGUUAGAGGAGCUGGUCAUCAGGUUCCGCCAGAGCUGGCUUAAUAGGGAGGGCGGUCAGUGCGACCGCCCCAGAGCCCGUUCUUAAUCCAAUAAUUUUAGAGGUUUUGAUUAUCUUCAUUAGCAUAUUUGAUCACAAAAAUUUUUGGUUAGUUAUGUAUAUGUUGUGAAGCUGGUGCGAGUUCAAAAGUUGAAGGAGUAAAAAUAUUAAAAAUAACUAUUCUUUUUGUCGACACUAAGAAAUUAACUAGCUAUAGGGUCUUAAAAUAAUACUUGCCCAAGGGCCAUGUUUGUAUUAAGCCGGCCCUGGGUUCCGCUCUUUGCUCCAGCGCAAUCCCUCACCUUAUUCUCACACUCUCUCGCUUCCACCCCGUUGCCUUCUACUCGCUUCUAAUCAGCACCACAAAUGAUCAAGUCAUAUUGCAUGUUUCUAUGAAAAACUCAAGAUUUCAGUGCGUCUUUUAUUUGGCUUGUUUUGCGAUUUAUCAUGUUAGCUGUGUGGUGAGAAUAAUGUAAUACUCUUCCUAGAGUCCAAUGUAUAUGAAUGUGAGAUCAAUGGAAUAGAACAUAGAAAAAUCUUUGAACGUCUCUCUUUAAUGUUUGUUUUUGAUGCCUGAUUCGUUAAUUUUGGGGGAUUUUUCAGGUUGUUGACUUUUUUGUGCCAUCGUUUCCACUGAUUUUUUGAAAAGUAGCAUUUGUAACAAAAAAUUAUAGUGAAAUAAAAUUGGGAAAAUGUAAUCGUGGAUGAGGCUAAUCAGUAGGAUAUGAUAUAGUAGUACCGUCACGAAUGUGAGUGUUUUUCUUAUCAUGCCAUAUGAAGCUUCUCAUCUGAUUUACGGUCUUGUCAAUGUUUUCUUUCAGAAGCUUCGGUGUGAUAGUGCGCCGUGACUGACUCUGAUAAUUAGAAAAGCUUCUAAAUAUUAAUUAGUUUAAAAUAUUUCAUUAUCUUUUUUUUUGUAAACUAUAUUUCAUUAUCUUUCAUAGAUAGUAGAUACAUAUUUAAAUGAUCAUCAUGUUAUUCUUAUUUUUUUAAAAUAUCAUGUUAUUCAUAUGGUCACAUAUUUUAGUUCUAGGAAAACUCAUCUGUCAUUCACCAAAAAGUUCAUAAACAGUAAUUUUGUCUUAUGCAAUUAAAAAUUAUAUAUCAUUCGGUCUUUUUGUUUUGUUGUAACAUAUUCACGUGAACUCGUAAUAAACAAUUAAAAAGAUAUAUUCCUAUCAUGUAAAUAAAAGACUUUAAGGUAAAAAAGAAAAGGAG